rnacentral:rRNA from 1 species
GAGGAAUAUUGGGCAAGUGGGCGGAAGCCUGACCCAGCAACGCCGCGUGGAGGAAGACGGCCUUCGGGUUGUAAACUCCGUUUUACGGGGGAAGAGGAAGGACGGUACCCCGCGAAUAAGUCACGGCUAACUACGUGCCAGCAGCCGCGGUAAUACGUAGGUGACAAGCGUUAUCCGGAAUUACUGGGCGUAAAGCGCACGCAGGCGGCGCGUUAAGUCUGAUGUGAAAUCUCCCGGCUUAACUGGGAGGGGUCAUUGGAAACUGGCGUGCUUGAGGCGGUGAGAGGGGUGUAGAAUUCCCGGUGUAGUGGUGGAAUGCGUAGAUAUCGGGAGGAAUACCAGUGGCGAAAGCGGCACCCUGGCACUAGCCUGACGCUCAUGUGCGAAGGCGUGGGGAGCGAACGGGAUUAGAUACCCCGGUAGUCCACGCGGUAAGCGAUGAGUACUAGGUGUAGGGGGAGUGAAAUCCUUCUGUGCCGAAGCAAACGCGCUAAGUACUCCGCCUGGGGAGUACGGCCGCAAGGCUA